AUUGAACGCUGGCGGAAUGCUUUACACAUGCAAGUCGAACGGCAGCACGGACUUCGGUCUGGUGGCGAGUGGCGAACGGGUGAGUAAUGUGUCGGAACGUGCCCAGUCGUGGGGGAUAACGUAGUGAAAAUUACGCUAAUACCGCAUACGAUCUAUGGAUGAAAGCGGGGGAUCGCAAGACCUCGCGCGAUUGGAGCGGCCGAUAUCAGAUUAGGUAGUUGGUGGGGUAAAGGCCCACCAAGCCAACGAUCUGUAGCUGGUCUGAGAGGACGACCAGCCACACUGGAACUGAGACACGGUCCAGACUCCUACGGGAGGCAGCAGUGGGGAAUUUUGGACAAUGGGCGAAAGCCUGAUCCAGCCAUUCCGCGUGCAGGAUGAAGGCCCUCGGGUUGUAAACUGCUUUUGUACAGAACGAAAAGGUUUCUACUAAUACUAGGAGCUCAUGACGGUACUGUAAGAAUAAGCACCGGCUAACUACGUGCCAGCCGCAGUAAUAC
rnacentral:rRNA from 1 species